CAGAUACUUGUGUUCAGGAUCAUCAACACGCGUUUCUUUGAGAUCACAUUGCGCUUUAGUCAACUUUGGACCGAGCACCAGCUACCAGCAUUGACAUCGAGUCUGCAACAAUCUGAUACGUAGACGGGGGUGAGCACUUGGAGUUUUGUGCUAUACCAGUCUCCAUCUAUAUACAUUGACUUGUAUUUUGCUUUUUGACACAAUCUUGUUUCUGUGGUCCACUUUUGGGACAUUUACUCAUUUUGUUAGUAGCUCUGUACAUGUGACUUCCAGGGUCUUGGAGGGAUUUUAUACUUGUAUAUAUAUUUAGGCUUGCUUCCACUUCUUCAUAUA